CUAGCCUACGGGGUAAUCUGGGUGGCCAUUGCCACAUCUGGGAACCAAACUCCUGACACUCCAUUACGAUUUGGCGAAGAAUGGACAGGAAGGGAGGCCUGACUACGUGCGAACAUUCCAUACUGUGUACGCAGGUAGCAAGUAACUACUGCGCACAAUCCACCCCAACGUCUCUUCCCACCAGCCCCAACUAUCUCGAUGUUGCGCAUCAACACUCGCCGUAGGUUGCCUAGGCUAAGAUCCUAGAAGGCCGGAGCCUUGUUGGUGCAUUUUCGAGGGGAUCUCCUUUCAACAUUACUGCAUUCAAAAGAAGCGUAGCAGCUCAGCGAGUUGGC
rnacentral:sRNA from 1 species